rnacentral:rRNA from 1 species
UACGGGGGGAGCAAGCGUUGUUCGGAUUUACUGGGCGUAAAGGGCGCGUAGGCGGCGUGACAAGUCACUUGUGAAAUCUCCGGGCUUAACUCGGAACGGUCAAGUGAUACUGUCGUGCUAGAGUACAGAAGGGGCAACUGGAAUUCUCGGUGUAGCGGUGAAAUGCGUAGAUAUCGAGAGGAACACCUGCGGCGAAGGCGGGUUGCUGGGCUGAUACUGACGCUGAGGCGCGAAAGCUAGGGGAGCGAACAGG